CGCUGAAGGAUGGGCUCGCGUCUGAUUAGAUAGUUGGUGGGGUAAUGGCCUACCAAGUCGACGAUCAGUAGCCGGACUGAGAGGUUGAACGGCCACAUUGGGACUGAGACACGGCCCAGACUCCUACGGGAGGCAGCAGUGGGGAAUAUUGCACAAUGGGCGCAAGCCUGAUGCAGCAACGCCGCGUGGAGGAAGACGGUUUUCGGAUUGUAAACUCCUGUUCUUAGUGAAGAAUAAUGACGGUAGCUAAGGAGCAAGCCACGGCUAACUACGUGCCAGCAGCCGCGGUAAUACGUAGGUGGCAAGCGUUGUCCGGAAUUACUGGGUGUAAAGGGAGCGCAGGCGGGGGAGCAAGUCAGCUGUGAAAUCCAUGGGCUUAACCUGUGAACUGCAGUUGAAACUGUUCUUCUUGAGUGAAGUAGAGGUUGGCGGAAUUCCGAGUGUAGCGGUGAAAUGCGUAGAUAUUCGGAGGAACACCGGUGGCGAAGGCGGCCAACUGGGCUUUUACUGACGCUGAGGCUCGAAAGUGUGGGGAGCAAACAGGAUUAGAUACCCUGGUAGUCCACACUGUAAACGAUGAUAACUAGGUGUAGGGGGUCUGACCCCUUCUGUGCCGCAGCUAACGCAAUAAGUUAUCCCACCUGGGGAGUACGACCGCAAGGUUGAAAA
rnacentral:rRNA from 1 species